rnacentral:rRNA from 1 species
GACGAACGCUGGCGGCGUGCUUAACACAUGCAAGUCGUACGGUAAGGCCCUUUCGGGGGUACACGAGUGGCGAACGGGUGAGUAACACGUGAGUAACCUGCCCACAACUUUGGGAUAACGCUAGGAAACUGGUGCUAAUACUGGAUAUGUGCUCCUGCUGCAUGGUGGGGGUUGGAAAGCUCCGGCGGUUGGGGAUGGACUCGCGGCCUAUCAGCUUGUUGGUGGGGUAGUGGCCUACCAAGGCGGCGACGGGUAGCCGGCCUGAGAGGGUGACCGGCCACAUUGGGACUGAGAUACGGCCCAGACUCCUACGGGAGGCAGCAGUGGGGAAUAUUGCACAAUGGGCGCAAGCCUGAUGCAGCAACGCCGCGUGCGGGAUGACGGCCUUCGGGUUGUAAACCGCUUUCAGCAGGGACGAAGCUUUUUGCGACGGUACCUGCAGAAGAAGCACCGGCUAACUACGUG